UACGUAGGGGGCAAGCGUUGUCCGGAAUCAUUGGGCGUAAAGAGCGCGUAGGCGGCCCUGUAAGUCCGCUGUGAAAGUCAAGGGCUCAACCCUUGGAUGCCGGUGGAUACUGCAGGGCUAGAGUCCGGAAGAGGCGAGUGGAAUUCCUGGUGUAGCGGUGAAAUGCGCAGAUAUCAGGAAGAACACCUAUGGCGAAAGCAGCUCUCUGGGACGGUACUGACGCUGAGACGCGAAAGCGUGGGGAGCGAACAGG
rnacentral:rRNA from 1 species